AGGGCGCACGGUGGAUGCCUUGGCACUAGAAGCCGAUGAAGGACGUGACUAACGACGAAAUGCUUUGGGGAGCUGUAAGUGAGCAAUGAUCCAGAGAUGUCCGAAUGGGGGAACCCGGCAGGUAAUGCCUGUCACUCAUUACUGUUAAGGUAAUGUAGAGGAAGACGCAGUGAACUGAAACAUCUAAGUAGCUGUAGGAAGAGAAAGCAAAAGCGAUUGCCUUAGUAGCGGCGAGCGAAACGGCAAGAGGGCAAACCGAAGAGUUUACUCUUCGGGGUUGUAGGACUGCAACGUGGACUUAAAGAUUAUAGAAGAACUACCUGGGAAGGUAGGCCCAAGAGAGUAAUAGCCUCGUAUUCGAAAUAGUCUUUAUACCUAGCAGUAUCCUGAGUACGGCGAGACACGAGAAAUCUCGUCGGAAUCUGGGAGGACCAUCUCCCAACCCUAAAUACUCUCUAGUGACCGAUAGUGAACCAGUACCGUGAGGGAAAGGUGAAAAGCACCCCGGGAGGGGAGUGAAAUAGAACCUGAAACCGUGUGCCUACAACAAGUUCGAGCCCGUUAAUGGGUGAGAGCGUGCCUUUUGUAGAAUGAACCGGCGAGUUACGAUAUGAUGCGAGGUUAAGUUGAAGAGACGGAGCCGUAGGGAAACCGAGUCUUAAUAGGGCGCAUUAGUAUCAUGUCGUAGACCCGAAACCAUGUGACCUACCCAUGAGCAGGUUGAAGGUGAGGUAAAACUCACUGGAGGACCGAACCAGGGCACGUUGAAAAGUGCUUGGAUGACUUGUGGGUAGCGGAGAAAUUCCAAACGAACUUGGAGAUAGCUGGUUCUCUCCGAAAUAGCUUUAGGGCUAGCGUCGAUGUUAAGUCUCUUGGAGGUAGAGCACUGUUUGGGUGAGGGGUCCAUCCCGGAUUACCAAUCUCAGAUAAACUCCGAAUGCCAAUGAGAUAUAAUCGGCAGUCAGACUGCGAGUGCUAAGAUCCGUAGUCGAAGGGGAAACAGCCCAGACCACCAGCUAAGGUCCCAAAAUAUAUGUUAAGUGGAAAAAGGAUGUGGGGUUGCACAGACAACUAGGAUGUUAGCUUAGAAGCAGCUAUUCAUUCAAAGAGUGCGUAAUAGCUCACUAGUCGAGUGACCCUGCGCCGAAAAUGUACCGGGGCUAAAACAUAUUACCGAAGCUGUGGAUACUUUUAUAGGUAUGGUAGGAGAGCGUUCUAUGUGCGAAGAAGGUGUACCGUGAGGAGUGCUGGAGCGCAUAGAAGUGAGAAUGCCGGUAUGAGUAGCGAAAGACAGGUGAGAAUCCUGUCCACCGUAAGACUAAGGUUUCCAGGGGAAGGCUCGUCCGCCCUGGGUUAGUCGGGACCUAAGGAGAGACCGAAAGGUGUAUCCGAUGGACAACAGGUUGAUAUUCCUGUACUAGAGUAUAUAGUGAUGGAGGGACGCAGUAGGCUAACUAAACCAGACGAUUGGAAGUGUCUGGCCAAGCAGUGAGGUGUGAUAUGAGUCAAAUGCUUAUAUCUUUAACAUUGAGCUGUGAUGGGGAGCGAAGUUUAGUAGCGAAGUUAGUGAUGUCACACUGCCGAGAAAAGCUUCUAGCGUUAAUUAUACUCUACCCGUACCGCAAACCGACACAGGUAGUCGAGGCGAGUAGCCUCAGGUGAGCGAGAGAACUCUCGUUAAGGAACUCGGCAAAAUGGCCCCGUAACUUCGGGAGAAGGGGCGCUGACUGAUGGUCAGCCGCAGUGAAUAGGCCCAAGCAACUGUUUAUCAAAAACACAGCUCUCUGCUAAAUCGUAAGAUGAUGUAUAGGGGGUGACGCCUGCCCGGUGCUGGAAGGUUAAGAGGAGUGCUUAGCGUAAGCGAAGGCAUGAAUUGAAGCCCCAGUAAACGGCGGCCGUAACUAUAACGGUCCUAAGGUAGCGAAAUUCCUUGUCGGGUAAGUUCCGACCCGCACGAAAGGCGUAAUGAUUUGGGCACUGUCUCAACGAGAGACUCGGUGAAAUUUUAGUACCUGUGAAGAUGCAGGUUACCCGCGACAGGACGGAAAGACCCCAUGGAGCUUUACUGCAGUUUGAUAUUGAGUAUCUGUACCACAUGUACAGGAUAGGUAGGAGCCUAUGACCUCGGGACGCCAG
rnacentral:rRNA from 1 species